rnacentral:rRNA from 1 species
UUCCGGUUGAUCCUGCCGGAGGCUACCGCUAUUGGAGUUCGAUUAAGCCAUGCGAGUCCAGAGCUUUCGGAGCUCGGCGUACCGCUCAGUAACACGUGGGUAACCUAACCUAUGCAGGGGAAUAACCUCGGGAAACUGAGAAUAAUGCCCCAUAGUCCACUACGCCUGGAACGGUGAGUGGAUGAAAGCUCAGGCGGCAUAGGAUGGGCCUGCGGCGUAUCAGGUUGUAGGGGGUGUAAAGUACCCUCUAGCCCUCUACGCGUACGGGUGUUGGGAGACAUAGCCCGGAGAUGGAUUCUGAGACACGAAUCCAGACCCUACGGGGUGCAGCAGGCGCGAAAACUUGGCAAUGCGAGCAAUCGUGACCAGGGAACUCCAAGUGGCUGGGGUAAGACCCAGUCUUUUCAGAACUCUUCAAAGGUUUUAGAAUAAGGGGUGGGUAAGGACGGUGCCAGCCGCCGCGGUAAUACCGGCGCCUCAAGUGGUAGUCGCUUUUAUUGGGCCUAAAACGUCCGUAGCCGGUCUGAUACAUUCGUGGGUAAAUCAACCAGCUUAACUGGUUGAAUUCUGCGAGGACGGUCAGACUUGGGACCGGGAGAGGUGUGGGGUACGCUCAGGGUAGGGGUAAAAUCCUGUCAUCCUGAGCGGACCACCUGUUGCGAAGGCGCCACACUAGAACGGAUCCGACGGUCAGGGACGAAGCCUAGGGGCACGAACCGGAUUAGAUACCCGGGUAGUCCUAGGUGUAAACGCUGUGGACUUGAUGUUGGGGGUGCUCCGAGCACUCUCAGUGUCGAAGCGAAGGUGAUAAGUCCACUGCCUGGGAAGUACGGUCGCAAGGCUGAAACUUAAAGGAAUUGGCGGGGGAGCACCGCAACCUGAGGAUUGUGCGGUUUAAUUGGAUUCAACGCCGGA